rnacentral:rRNA from 1 species
CCUACGGGUGGCAGCAGUGAGGAAUAUUGGUCAAUGGACGAGAGUCUGAACCAGCCAAGUAGCGUGAAGGAUGACUGCCCUAUGUGUUGUAAACCUCUUUUAUCAAGGAAUAAAACGAGGCACGUGUGCCUUUUUGCAUGUACCUUAUGAAUAAGGAUCGGCUAACUCCGUGCCAGCAGCCGCGGUAAUACGGAGGAUCCGAGCGUUGUCCGGAUUUAUUGGGUUUAAAGGGAGCGUAGACGGGUUGUUAAGUCAGUGGUGAAAGUUUGCGGCUCAACCGUAAGAGUGCAAUUGAUACUGGCAGUCUUGAGUACAGGUGAGGUAGGCGGAAUUCGUGGUGUAGCGGUGAAAUGCUUAGAUAUCACGAAGAACCCCGAUUGCGAAGGCAGCUUACUGAACUGUGACUGACACUGAUGCUCGAAAGUGUGGGUAUCAAACAGGAUUAGAUACCCCUGUAGUC